rnacentral:rRNA from 1 species
GACGAACGCUGGCGGCGUGCUUAACACAUGCAAGUCGAACGGAAAGGCCCUGCUUUUGUGGGGUGCUCGAGUGGCGAACGGGUGAGUAACACGUGAGUAACCUGCCCUUGACUUUGGGAUAACUUCAGGAAACUGGGGCUAAUACCGGAUAGGAGCUCCUGCUGCAUGGUGGGGGUUGGAAAGUUUCGGCGGUUGGGGAUGGACUCGCGGCUUAUCAGCUUGUUGGUGGGGUAGUGGCUUACCAAGGCUUUGACGGGUAGCCGGCCUGAGAGGGUGACCGGCCACAUUGGGACUGAGAUACGGCCCAGACUCCUACGGGAGGCAGAAGUGGGGAAUAUUGAACAAUGGGCGGAAGCCGGAUGCAGCAACGCCGCGUGCGGGAUGACGGCCUUCGGGUUGUAAACCGCUUUCGCCUGUGACGAAGCGUGAGUGACGGUAAUGGGUAAAGAAGCACCGGCUAACUACGU